UCGUGAUCCGCCCGCCUCGGCCUCCCAAAGUGCUGGGAUUACAGGCGUGAGCCACCGCGCCUGGCCCUUUUUUUACAAGUUUUUUUUUUUUUUCCUCCUUUGAGAUUAUAAUGAACAUGGUCACACCACAAGUAAAGUCAGAAGUAGGACGGAGAACGGUCCGAAGGCUGGUUUGGUCAUCCGAGAUCAUUAAAGGUGGCUGACCCUAACAAUAUGUACAAAAAUAUAAAAUGUAAAUUAAAAAUACAAGCAAAUUUCUUUUUUUAAAGUACUUUUAAGAAAAAAAGCAGGGCCUUGGAAGUUUUGGUUCUUUUUUCCUCCCCUGUUGCAAAUUCUUACGGUUUAGGUUGGGUGGUGGAGAGUGUGUGUCAUCUGUGGGUGGCACUGCCCAUGGUGGGGGGGCGGGCCUCAAUACUGGAAGGUGACUACGUUUAGAUUCUGAGACAGGAAAUGGAGGGUGAAUAGGUCAUGGCGGCCUUUUUUUUUUAGUUUAACUUUUCCUUUUUUGCUGUCUAGUCAUCCUUGUCGGUCUUCUGCUUCUUGGUAUCGACAUCAUCAUCCUCAUCAUCUUCAGCUGCCCGCUUGCCUGUAGCAGACUCAGCUUCCUCUUCAUCUCCAUCCUCUUCCUCACCAUCACCUUCUUUUUCCUCCUCCUCUUCCUCCCCACUUUCUUCCCCUUCUUCAUCUACCUCAUUGUCAGCCUCCUGCUCCCCAUUUUCCUCAUUAGCAUUCCCGUUAGCAGGGGCGUCUCUUCCAUUUUCCGCGUCUUUCACAACUUCCUUCUUCUCCUUUAAGUCCUUGGCAAUGAUUUCAGAGCUGGUGUCUACAGCUGCAUCUGACAUGGUGGGGCACGCCGGUGAUCUGAUGCAGGGGAUUAAAAAGAAAACGAGAGUUCAGGGACUCCGGCGAUAAAGCUGCCAGAGUCUGCGGCGGAGGCAGCCGCGGCGAGCAAGGAGCUGGACAAGGAACAAUGCAAAGAUGGCUUUUCAGAGCAGCCAAUCGGGAUCUUGAAACUAUUAAGGCCUAAAAUCAUUAGCACUGUUUUCUCCCUCUAAGACAUAUGUGGCUUUUCACUUUAUUUUCAACUGAAUGCUUUCGCUGUUUUGGGUUUAGCAAGCUUUUGGUCUUAAAAAUAUCCAACAAUGCAGUUAAGAGGCCAGAUGACUUUAUGCAUGAAACAUUGUUAAGAUGAGGAAUUUUCCCAUAGAAAGGUGACCAGAUUUGAGGAAAUUAUUUAGUCAGUAUAAACAUUUCUCUGGAUGUAAACAGUACAGAUUUUACUUUCAGGCUUUCCUAAUAAAGUUUCUAACAGACCUGGAAAGGAGAAGGAAGAGUAACAUCUGUUGCAAAACCCCAGUUACGUGUAGGACAAAUAAGAAUCUGGGAGAGAGGUGACUUGCCCAAGUGACACACCGAUUUGGGAUAUAUUAGGGAGAACCAUUAAUUCUUGUCCAUAAGGCUUGAUUUAGAAUUGUUUUUUAUUUUAAUGGAAGUUCUGUAGAAAGAAAGGAAUACUUGGAAAAAUUGAGCCACUUGUAAAUACUUGGAAGAUGAGAAAAGAGAAUGGUUUAAAAUCUUCUUACCAUAUCCCUAUUCUCCUCCUCUUCCUCCUCAUCAUCAGAAUCACAAUCAGUCAGUCAAGGUUGGCACUUUAUUAGUGUGAACAAGGUCAGUAUGAAAACACAAAGUAUAGGGAAGUUGUGACACCCAAUGUGUACAAUUUCUAAGUCACACCUCUCUGUUUCACAUUUAUUUAUUUAUUUCUCAGUUUCAUUUUAAUAUGGUUAUAGGACCACCAGGUUCGAUUGCCUGUUGCAUGGUAACAAACCAAUGCACCAGAACAGUGGAGAUUGCAGCAGAGAAAGAGUUGAAUAACUGUAGGGCAGCCGAAUGAGAAGACAAGACGAGAGGAAACUUCAAAUCUGCCUCCCUGAGAGGUUUGGGGAUGGGGAUUUUAAGGGGUCUGGACAGGUGAUGGGCUAAAGUAUGGGGAUUGCUGACUGGUUGAGAAGUGGGGAGUGAAGUCAUGGGACCAGGAGAUGCUGAGUCGUUUUCUUGGUAGGGGUUUUCAGACGGUUGGCAUCAGCCAUUCUGCUGGAAUUCAGGAUCUGAAAAACACCUUAAGCAAUUCUUGGGUAAAAUGUCCAGUGUCAGAUUCUAUCUAUGGGAGCAAUGGGGGAGCAGGUGGUCAGUGUGCUGCAUGACCCUCGAUUAGUUAGCAGCUGCAGGGAAAUGAGUCAGAGCACACCAGUGCAUGCUGGUUGAUGCCUGACUACAAUACAAGCCUAAAGCCUGGCUUGUAAUUCUCAUUAACCCUGUGAGGGUGGGUUUUCCCUUGGGCUUUUGCCCCAUUCUAAGCAACACUUCUAUGGAUAUUUUUGACUACAUGUUUUUUGUAGUGCACACUGGAAAAUAUUCUGUGUGCUCAAAUUAAUUUUUUUCCAAGACUGUUUCUCAUUUUAAUAUCCCAGAGCUUCUCUUGCAUUUUAGGCUGCAAUGGGUGAAGAAAGGUAUAUCUUCAUUCCUUUGUCAAAAAUUUACUGAGUGCCUGGGCACUCAAGUGCUGUAAUCCCAGCACUUUGGGAGGC
rnacentral:lncRNA from 1 species